UAACGCGUGGGAAUCUGCCUCAUAGUGGGGGACAACGUGGGGAAACUCACGCUAAUACCGCAUACGCCCUACGGGGGAAAGCGGGGGCUCUUCGGACCUCGCGCUAUGAGAUGAGCCUGCGUUAGAUUAGCUAGUUGGUAGGGUAAAGGCCUACCAAGGCGACGAUCUAUAGCUGGUCUGAGAGGACGAUCAGCCACACUGGGACUGAGACACGGCCCAGACUCCUACGGGAGGCAGCAGUGGGGAAUAUUGGACAAUGGGCGCAAGCCUGAUCCAGCAAUACCGCGUGUGUGAAGAAGG
rnacentral:rRNA from 1 species